AGUUUGAUCCUGGCUCAGGACGAACGCUGGCGGCGUGCCUAACACAUGCAAGUCGAACGGGACCAGGGGCAACUCUGGUUCAGUGGCGGACGGGUGCGUAACACGUGAGGAACAUGACUUUCGGCGGGGGAUAGCCGGCCCAACGGCCGGGUAAUACCGCGUACGACCCAGUGGAGACAUCUUAUUGGGUGAAAGCAGCAAUGCACCGAAAGAGUGCCUCGCGGCCUAUCAGCUAGUUGGUGAGGUAAUGGCUCACCAAGGCGACGACGGGUAGCUGGUCUGAGAGGAUGGCCAGCCACAUUGGGACUGAGACACGGCCCAGACUCCUACGGGAGGCAGCAGUGGGGAAUAUUGCGCAAUGGGCGAAAGCCUGACGCAGCGACGCCGCGUGUGGGAUGACGGCCUUCGGGUUGUAAACCACUGUCGGGAGGGACGAAUGCGCCGCAAGGCGAGUGACGGUACCUCCAAAGGAAGCACCGGCUAACUCCGUGCCAGCAGCCGCGGUAAUACGGAGGGUGCGAGCGUUGUCCGGAAUCACUGGGCGUAAAGGGCGCGUAGGCGGCCUGAUAAGUAGAGGGUGAAAUCCUGCGGCUUAACCGCAGGGCUGCCUUUUAAACUGUCAGGCUAGAGCACGGUAGAGGCAGAUGGAAUUCCCGGUGUAGCGGUGGAAUGCGUAGAGAUCGGGAAGA
rnacentral:rRNA from 1 species